rnacentral:rRNA from 1 species
AUGCUUACUGAGAAGAUAUCUAAAUUGCAAAAUUUACGCACCCUCAUCAUUGAUGAAAUGAUAAGGGUUCCAUCAAACGAGUGCAAAGUCUUUGAGAGUAUUUUCACUAUGUUUACGGGGCUGCGGAAAUUGCGGGUACUGAAUUUACAACCUGGUCUUGAUAUGUUCUCAUUCCCAGAUUCAAUUGGUCAGCUGAAGCAUCUGCGUUAUUUUGCUUUUCGGGUGUCUCCACUUACGAAGCUAACUUUACCGACAGUUUUUACCAAGCUUUACCACAUUCGGGUGGUAGAUUUUGGUUUGUGUGGCAGUUUGACGCCUUCUAGUGGUGAAGAUAUGAUGAACCUAGUCAACUUGCGCCAUGUAAUAAGCAUUGCAGAUAUGGAAUUUCCAAACGUUGGCAGAUUGAUAUCGCUCCACACGCUACCAUUCUUCACAAUAAGGAGGGAACGGGGGUAUGAGCCACAUCAGCUGAAACACCUAAACAAGCUUGAAGGCAAAUUAUUGAUCAAUGGUCUUGAGAAUGUUGAGAGCAAGGAGGAGGCUCUUGAAGUCAAUCUUGCUGGCAAGGAAAAACUCAGAAAACUGGUACUCGAAUGGGAUGAUGAUAGCUGCAGUCCAGAAGUUCAAGCAGAGGUUCUUGAGGGUCUUUGCCCAUCAAAGUAUCUUGAAAGAUUAGAUAUUAGCAAGUACCAGGGUACGAGGUUACCGAAAUGGAUGAUGGGUAAGCAUAACGGCGGGCCAAAGAAUUUGCAAGAACUUACAUUCAGAAGAUGGAUCCAACUAGGACCUGCUCCUGACCUUGGGGCUUUCAUUCAUCUUCAGUCGCUAAUUCUUUCUAACUGCAACUGGAAUGCCUUGUCAGGCAACAUGGAGCACCUCACAUCGUUCAAGACACUGGAGAUCGAGUCAUGCAAGAAUAUAGGGUCGCUUCCAACACUGCCCAAGUCUCUUGAGCGGUUUAAAGUCAUGGGCUGCAACUGGGAUGCCUUACCAGGCAAUAUGGAGCACCUCACAGCGCUCAAGCAACUGGAUAUAAAUUCAUGCAAGAAUAUACUGUCGCUUCCAACACUGCCCAAGUCUCUUGAGGAGUUUAACGUCAGCAACUGCAGCAGGGAUGCCUUACGAGGAAAUAUGGAGCACCUCACAUCGCUCAAGAAAUUUGAGAUCAGGUUAUGCAAGAAUAUGCGGUCGCUCCCAACACUGCCCAAGUCUCUUGACGAGUUUAGAGUCAUGUACUGCAGCUUCAAUGCCUUGCCAGGCAAUAUUGAGCACAUCACAUCACUCAGGAGACUGGAUAUACAGUCAUGCGAGAAUAUGCGGUUGCUUCCAACACUUCCAAAGUCUCUUGAGGAAUUUAUCAUCUUUAACUGCAGCUUGGAUACCUUACCAGGCAAUAUGGAACACCUCACAGCACUCAAGAAAUUGAGUAUCAGUAUCUUCAAGAAUAUACUGUUGCUUCCAACACUGCCCAAGUCUCUUGAGGAGUUUGUCGUUACAGACUGCAGCUUGAAUGCCUUACCAGGCAAUAUUGAGCACCUCACAUCACUCAAGAAGCUGUAUAUACAGUCAUGCAAGAAUAUGCGGUCGCUUCCAAAACUUCCCGAGUCUCUUAAGGAGAUUACAGUCAAUUACUGCAGUGACGAGUUCACACAAUCUUGUGUAACGACUGAUGAUCCAAACUGGCAGAAGAUUGAGCAUAUUCCCAAGAAAACAAUUACAUUCGAUAGUUAA